rnacentral:rRNA from 1 species
CCUACGGGGAGCAGCAGGGAGGAAUAUUGGGCAAUGGGGGAAACCCUGACCCAGCCAUGCCGCGUGAGUGAAGAAGGUCUGCGGAUUGUAAAGCUCUUUCGGACGUGAAGAUGAUGACGGUAGCGUCUAAAGAAGCACCGGCAAACUUCGUGCCAGCAGGCGCGGUAAGACGAAGGGUGCGAGCGUUGUUCGGAAUGACGGGGGGUAAAGGGAGUGUAGGCGGAUAUGUAAGGUAGCGGUGAAAUGCCGGGGCUCAACCCCGGAACUGCCAUUAUGACUAUGUAUCUAGAGUAAUGGAGAGGAUAGCAGAAUACCCAGUGUAGAGGUGAAAUUCGUAGAUAUUGGGUAGAACACCGGUGGCGAAGGCGGCUAUCUGGCCAUUUACUGACGCUGCGGCUCGAAAGCAUGGGGAUCAAACAGGAUUAGAUACCCUUGUAGUC